UCUAAUCAGUUUUGCUGAUACAGUAUCGAGCGUCGUAUGCCCGCUUGAAGUCAACGAAAAUUUACUGUACAUCAACGUUAUAUUCCCAUCUCUUCUCUGUUGGAAUCUUCCUUGACCAACAAUAUUUUUUGAGAAGGGUUCGAGCUUUCUUUCGAUUAUUUUUAACAACAAUAUGUAACAUGUGUACAAUAAAUAUACCUCUCCAGAGUUUUCACAACAAAGUUUCCCACCGUUUUUUAUAAAAAAGGCAAAUGACACUUUUGCGGCAGUGCUUCGGUAUAGUUUCGUAAAACCAAAUAGUGUUUAUAAGCUCAUGUAGCUUGGUGGUCAUCUCCACAUUUUUUGUCUUUAGUAGCUCCCUUUUUAUGAUCACCAAAUCGAAGCACGAUGGCCGAGUUAGUGAUGAAGCAACUUUUGAUCUCGUUGCUCUGGGCGCAUCUUUAUGGUGUAGGCUUAUCGCUUCCGCAGCAUUGAAUGUGACGAUAAUAAAAGUGAAGCAGGGUUCCAUUGCAAAUCAAAUAGAAAAAUAAUAACCAUCUUAAAAAGAGACUGCGCGGAUACUCCUCUACAAAAGACAUAUGGUACAAACGGAUGAAAAGCCCAGAAAAAAACGAUGAUGAUACUAGUUAUGUACUUGUGAACAUUAGAACUAAUUUUUAAAUUGAGGAAAAUGACAAAUACUUACAUCGACUAGGUCCUUCCCGUAUUUCUCCUUCAAUGCUGCAUACAGAUCGUGCCCACUUUAACAGCUUCGGUUGCAGAACGAAUUUUAUCCAAUUUAGCAUCUUUUCUUUCUCAUUGCAAGGUUCGGUCACAUCAACGUGAAGUUCUCCAUUUUGUAAAGAUACACUAAAUCUGAAUUUUGAAUCGG